ensembl:lncRNA
AUGCCCAGGAUGGCCACCAGUUCAGCACCACAGCGCAAGAUGGCCGCCAGCCCAGCGCCAUUGCACAGGAUGGCUGCCAGCUCAGCAUGCCCAGCACCACAGCACGGGAUGGCCGCCGGCCCAGCACCACAGCACAAGAUGGUUGACUCAACGCCUGAGUCUUCCGUCAAGGAGCCACCGGCACGCCAUCAUAGAGGCCGCAGGAGGAGGAGACAGGCGUCAGCCGUUCCUCGAAGCCCGGAGGACGUUCCCGAGCGGGCCGCUGCCGUCCAGGAGGACGUUCCCGAGCGGGCCGCUGCCGUCCAGGAGGACGUUCCCGAGCGGGCCGCUGCCGUCCAGGAGGACGUUCCCGAGCGGGCCGCUGCCGUCCAGGAGGACGUUCCCGAGCAGGCCGCUGUCGUCCAGGUGGACGUGCCCGAGGUUCCCGAGGCGGGGCUCGAGGUGGUUCUGGAUGCCGAGGCGGUGCCCGAGGCGGUGCCCGAUGCCGAGGCGGUGCCCGAGGCCAGGGCGGUGCCCGAGGCGGUCCCCGAUGCCGAGGCGGUCCCCGAUGCAAUGCCCGAUGCUGAGGCGGUGCCCGAUGCGGUGCCAGAGACGGUUCCCGAUGUAAUGCCCGAGACCGAGGCUGUUCCGGAGGUCGAGGCGGUGCCCGAUGUUGUUCCCGAUGCCGAGGCGGUGCCCGAUGCUGUUCCGCAGGUCGAGGCGGUGCCCGAGGCCGUUCCGCAGGUCGAGGCGGUGCCCGAUGUUGUUCCAGAGACCGAGGUGGUGCCCGAGUUGCUUCCAGAGACCGAGGCGGUGCCCGAUGCGCAGGCCGAGAUCGUUCCCGAGGCGGUGGCCGAUGCGCAGGCCGAGGUCGUUCCUGAGGUGGUGCCCGAUGCAGAGGUCGUUCCCGAGGCGGUGCCCUUGUCCAAGGCCGUUCCCGAGGCCGUGCCCGAGGCCGUUCCCGAGGCGGGGGCCUUGUCCAAUGCCGUUCCUGAGGCCGUUCCUGAGGCCGUUCCUGAGGCCGUUCCUGAGGCCGUUCCUGAGACCGUUCCCGAGGCGGUGUCCUGGUCCGAUGCCGUUCCUGAGGCCGUUCCUGAGGCCAUUCCAGAGGCGGUGGCCGAUGCUGUUCCGGAGGCCGAUGCGGGGCCCAAGAUGGCUCCGGAGGCGAUACCCGUGUCCAAGGCCGUUCCCGAGGCGGUGUCCUUGUCUGAGGUCGUUCCUGAUGCCGUUCCCAAUGCCGUGACCGGGCCAUCGCCACAGCCUGCUCCUUACUGGCUCCCCGAUUGGCAGGUUCCGUUCGGGCCACUCAACGAGAAUGGACUGAUCCACCGUGGCCACCUGAACUGCCUGGUCCCUCGUGGUCCCCUGAACUUUCGGGUCCACCGUGGCCACCUGAACUGCCUGGUCCCUCGUGGUCCCCUGAACUUUCGGGUCCACCGUGGCCACCUGAACUGCCUGGUCCCUCGUGGUCCCCUGAACUUUCGGGUCCACCGUGGCCCCCUGAACUGCCUGGUCCCUCGUGGUCCCCUGAACUUUCGGGUCCACCAUGGCCCCCUGAUCUGACCAAGCCACCUGGGCUACCAGGGGAGCCAUCGCUGCCGGUCCCAGUUCCCCUACACGGGCCUGGCCCGCCAUCCCUCCCCCUGUUCUGCCUCCACCAGUCCACCUCCCUCCUGGUCUCUUUGUUUUGUGUUUAUUUGGUUCUGAGGAACAUCUGGAAGCUGCUCCUUAGAGGGGGGGUAGUGUCACAGUGUCUGUUCUGUGUCUCCCUGGGUGGCCACUAGAGGUCUCACUUCCCCUUAUUGUCAUCUUCGUCAGAACUUCAUUUCCCACUAGCCUUAGCUGCUCAUCACUGUUCAUUGUAUUCAGCUGUCACCACUUACCUUGUUUGCACCUGUCUUUAAAUACCCUGGUUGUUCUGUCUUUGUUACGGAGUCCUUGUUGAAUGUCACCCUGCGUUUUCCUGGUUCCCUGGUUUCUCGUGUUUUUGUAUGUUGUUUAUGUUUCUUGUUUUGGACGGAUUACCUGGAUGUUGACCUUUGCCUGGCUAAGUUAUGAUUUUUGGAUUGCCUCAAUAAACAUACUGCAAUUGGAUCUACCUGUCUGUGUGCGGUUCGUGACAGAAAAUGACAUUUCUCUUGACCAGAAGAACUGAAGGCCAAAGUCAGCAAAACUGCUCCCUCUAAAGGAAAAUCAGUGCAAUACUUCACUUAUACAUUAUGGACUUGGA